UUCUUUUGUGGGUUUAUAAAUAGGCUUUCCUCUUUUAUUUUUUCUUCAAUUGGUUAAAUCUCGUUCAUGGGCUUUUUAAAUUUUAGGCCCAUAAAGCUUUUGUGGACUUGAUGGGCUUUGGUAGUUGGGAGAUUUUACCGCAUGCUUGGGUGCAGUUCCCCCACGUUCGCAAUUUGUGCCUAACUUUUCAUUUUGCGCGCCCUCUCCACUUUCUGAAACCUUUUGCAUUUAUAUGCGCCCCUUCC
rnacentral:lncRNA from 1 species